rnacentral:rRNA from 1 species
ACUUUCAACAACGGAUCUCUUGGUUCUGGCAUCGAUGAAGAACGCAGCGAAAUGCGAUAAGUAGUGUGAAUUGCAGAAUUCAGUGAAUCAUCGAAUUUUUGAACGCAUAUUGCGCCCCUUGGUAUUCCAUGGGGCAUGCCUGUUCGAGCGCCA